rnacentral:rRNA from 1 species
AAUGAACGCUGGCGGCGCGCCUAAUACAUGCAAGUCGAGCGAGAAGACGUAGCAAUACGUUUGUAAAGCGGCGAACGGGUGAGGAAUACAUGGGUAACCUACCCUCGAGUGGGGAAGUAACUAGCCGAAGGUUAGCUAAUACCGCGUACGCUUCUUGGACUUCGGUUCAGGGAGGAAAGCGAUACCGUGGGUAUCGCGCCCUUGGAUGGGCUCAUGUCCUAUCAGCUUGUUGGUGAGGUAACGGCUCACCAAGGCUUCGACGGGUGGCUGGUCUGAGAGGACGAUCAGCCACACUGGCACUGCGACACGGGCCAGACUCCUACGGGAGGCAGCAGUAAGGAAUAUUGCGCAAUGGGCGAAAGCCUGACGCAGCGACGCCGCGUGGGGGA